AGAGCGAACGCUGGCGGCAGGCCUAAUACAUGCAAGUCGAACGGAUCCUUCGGGAUUAGUGGCGGACGGGUGAGUAACACGUGGGAACGUGCCCUUUGGUUCGGAACAACUCAGGGAAACUUGAGCUAAUACCGAAUGUGCCCUUCGGGGGAAAGAUUUAUCGCCAUUGGAGCGGCCCGCGUCUGAUUAGCUAGUUGGUGGGGUAAAGGCCCACCAAGGCGACGAUCAGUAGCUGGUCUGAGAGGAUGAUCAGCCACACUGGGACUGAGACACGGCCCAGACUCCUACGGGAGGCAGCAGUAGGGAAUCUUGCGCAAUGGGCGAAAGCCUGACGCAGCCAUGCCGCGUGAAUGAUGAAGGUCUUAGGAUUGUAAAAUUCUUUCAGCGGGGACGAUAAUGACGGUACCCGCAGAAGAAGCCCGGCUAACUUCGCGCCAGCAGCCGC
rnacentral:rRNA from 1 species